rnacentral:rRNA from 1 species
CAAUAGCGUAUAUUUAAGUUGCUGCAGUUAAAAAGCUCGUAGUUGGAUUUCGGGUGGGAAUGGCCGGUCCGCCGUUUCGGUGUGCACUUGCUACGCCCACCUUGCUGCCGGGGACGUGCUCUUGAGUUCACGCUCGGGACACGGAGUCGGCGAGGUUACUUUGAGUAAAUUAGAGUGUUCAAAGCAGGCCUACGCUCUGAAUACAUUAGCAUGGAAUAACACGAUAGGACUCUGGCCUAUCUUGUUGGUCUGUAGGACCGGAGUAAUGAUUAAGAGGGACAGUCGGGGGCAUUCGUAUUCCAUUGUCAGAGGUGAAAUUCUUGGAUUUAUGAAAGACGAACUACUGCGAAAGCAUUUGCCAAGGAUGUUUUCAUUAA